GGGUUGUGAGGUUAAGCGACUAAGCGUACACGGUGGAUGCCUAGGCAGUCAGAGGCGAUGAAGGGCGUGCUAAUCUGCGAUAAGCGUCGGUAAGGUGAUAUGAACCGCAACAACCGACGAUA
rnacentral:rRNA from 1 species